GGUCACUCUCUCUCUGACAUGUGUCUGUCUGUCUCAGGUCACUCUCUCUCUCUGACAUGUGUCUGUCUGUCUCAGGUCACUCUCUCUCUCUCUCUGACAUGUGUCUGUCUGUCUCAGGUCACUCACUCUCUCUGACAUGUGUCUGUCUGUCUCAGGUCUCUCUCUCUUUGACAUGUGUCUGUCUGUCUCAGGUCACUCUCUCUCUCUGACAUGUGUCUGUCUGUCUCAGGUCUCUCUCUCUC